UCUCCGUUGGUGAACCUGCGGAGGGAUCAUUACAGAGUUCAUGCCCUACCGGGUAGAUCUCCCACCCUAUGUUAUUAUUACUUUGUUGCUUUGGCGGGCCGUUAGGCUCCGGCCCGACUACCGGCCCCGGCUGGUAAGCGCCCGCCAGAGGACCCAAAACCCUGAAUAUUAGUGUCGUCUGAGUACUAUAUAAUAGUUAAAACUUUCAACAACGGAUCUCUUGGUUCUG
rnacentral:misc_RNA from 1 species